AUCCCGUCCACCGAUUGACUAAGGUUUCCAGAGGAAGGCUCGUCCGCUCUGGGUUAGUCGGGUCCUAAGCUGAGGCCGACAGGCGUAGGCGAUGGAUAACAGGUUGAUAUUCCUGUACCACCUAUAAUCGUUUUAAUCGAUGGGGGGACGCAGUAGGAUAGGCGAAGCGUGCGAUUGGAUUGCACGUCUAAGCAGUAAGGCUGAGUAUUAGGCAAAUCCGGUACUCGUUAAGGCUGAGCUGUGAUGGGGAGAAGACAUUGUGUCUUCGAGUCGUUGAUUUCACACUGCCGAGAAAAGCCUCUAGAUAGAAAAUAGGUGCCCGUACCGCAAACCGACACAGGUAGUCAAGAUGAGAAUUCUAAGGUGAGCGAGCGAACUCUCGUUAAGGAACUCGGCAAAAUGACCCCGUAACUUCGGGAGAAGGGGUGCUCUUUAGGGUUAACGCCCAGAAGAGCCGCAGUGAAUAGGCCCAAGCGACUGUUUAUCAAAAACACAGGUCUCUGCUAAACCGUAAGGUGAUGUAUAGGGGCUGACGCCUGCCCGGUGCUGGAAGGUUAAGAGGAGUGGUUAGCUUCUGCGAAGCUACGAAUCGAAGCCCCAGUAAACGGCGGCCGUAACUAUAACGGUCCUAAGGUAGCGAAAUUCCUUGUCGGGUAAGUUCCGACCCGCACGAAAGGCGUAACGAUUUGGGCACUGUCUCAACGAGAGACUCGGUGAAAUCAUAGUACCUGUGAAGAUGCAGGUUACCCGCGACAGGACGGAAAGACCCCGUGGAGCUUUACUGUAGC
rnacentral:rRNA from 1 species